UACGUAGGGGGCAAGCGUUAUCCGGAUUUACUGGGUGUAAAGGGAGCGUAGACGGCGAUGCAAGUCUGGAGUGAAAGGCGGGGGCCCAACCCCCGGACUGCUCUGGAAACUGUAUAGCUGGAGUGCAGGAGAGGUAAGUGGAAUUCCUAGUGUAGCGGUGAAAUGCGUAGAUAUUAGGAGGAACACCAGUGGCGAAGGCGGCUUACUGGACUGUAACUGACGUUGAGGCUCGAAAGCGUGGGGAGCAAACAGG
rnacentral:rRNA from 1 species